UUGUUCGCUAUUAAUAAUCAUUAAUUUUUCUCCCGUUUGUAAACUUGUAAUUAUCAUUAAAAUAAACACCUCUCGAUACAUUCACGCGUAUACACACACGUUUAUAAACAUGCACCACUCAUGAUCGUUAAAUUCGGAAAUAAAAUAAAACUAAAAUUAUUAAUACACAAUAAUAAAAAUUCUUUCUUUACGUUAUAUACAUAUAGUUUAAAUAUUUAUAUGAUGUUUGCUCAAUCUGUUUUUGCAAAAAAGAUUUUACGUGUGUAUCCAUGAAACACGAUGUGCACGUAUGCUGGCGCCAGCUACUGACGGGUGUCACAAGCGUCUGCCGAAAUCUCGCGUGGUGGAAAAGCGUCGGUGCGGUGAAGAUCAGAAAAAAGAGUGGUGGGUAUUAGAGGGUGGUAGGGCAGCGCCGUGAAAAGAGGGUGGAGUUUCACCGCGCAACGUGCUCGAACCAUGGAAGAAGUGGGAAAAACGGCCAAGUCACCCGCGCGUGCCUGAUUUUUUUUGUCCUAUCGCUAUCUCGCUCACUCGAUGGGGCUACUAGGCGUGGUUUAAAAAAAGAUUUAGCGGCUCGCGAGGGAGAGGUGGAGUCAGCGACGCGCGGAAUUCCAGAAUUUCACGAACUGCGACGUCGCGUGGAAAACGUCGGGGCGUCCAUCAUCCUGGUGGGGAUAGAGAGGAGAGAAUUCAUAGUCGUGGUGGGUUUGGUGGAACACGCGGCGGUGGCGGGCGUGCGGUCGGCGAGGAAAGCGCGAAGGGGAAACUAUACCGCUCCGGGCAGACCGAUCGAGCUCGACAACGGCUAGUUCAAGCGCGCGCCAACUCUCUUUCAAGAUAUUUCCUUGUGUUUGGCCCGUGUCAUCUCUCUGUACAUCCGUUUUGUUGUAAACGUACAUAUACAACAACAGUACCAGCUAGAGACAAUAUGUUGAACGAUCCUGAAGACUGCACGAGAUUUUCUACAUGAGAAACGUUUUCUUUGAUGUUUUCGUUAUGAAGUCACAUGUCUCUCAAAAGCUGAAAUUACUCAGAUAUUUAACUCGGAGGAUAGAAUAAGGAAUUAUUGAACCAAAAAAAUGUGUGUGUCGUGGAAGUGUUAGAAGUGUCAGUCGGAUGGAAGUUCAAGUGCUCGUAUCGAUGUAGUUAUGAUUCUGUGCGCAGGGAAGAUUGUCAGGGAAUGUUUGAAUGCGUGGCAUGCAUAGCAACAAUGUGCGCUGUUCCUUGGUUCGUAUGUCAAUAUUCUUUCGUACAUUUGAUAGGUGCUGGGUUCUACACAUUGGCAGAAAUUUGUUGGGCUAAUACACAUUUAACGCUAAUGGUCCCUUCAAUAACAUAACAAUAUUACAAUACACAGUGACAAAUAAUGUGAAAGAAAUAUCCAUAAACCAAAUAAAAUAUUGGUAUUAUCGUAACAGUUUUGUUUAGAGAGAGAAUAUUUAAUAUUGAUAAAACCACUGCGCUAUAUUCAGUCGUAAAAGAAAUCGGCCGACGAAAUGGAGCCAUCUGAUAGAAUUCGAGAGUAGGUUGUAAAAUAAACAAAGAAUACGAAAAAUCUUUUUUUUCCAUACUUUACUUUCCUCUAAAUUGGACUCUAAUGUAACGUAGUUGUACUAACGUACAUCGUAAAGUUGCUCAUAUGCAGUCACGAUAACUAAAUUAUCAGUUAUAAAUAAACCGUACAGCAAACACUUGGCGUUAAUGACAGUAACAUGCGCGAUAAGAGUUUUCCAGCAUUACUCAGUUUAAUGCAACGAAUAUCUCAAGUUUCCAUUAUAACUUUGGCAAAUCGAUUUAUGCUUUUCUCUGAUAACGAUACGACGUCGUAAACGAAUAAUUAAAAGCACCUACAACAGAUACGUGGACAAAGAAUUAUUGAAAAGGAAUAUACAAUAGGAUCAUUACAAAUCGUGCUCUACAGGUUAAGUCCACCAAAUAUAAUCCACCAGAUUGAUUCUGCAAAAAGGAUUUGCAACAAACAAAAUGUUGUUUUGCUUAUCUUCGGGUUAACGGAUCUGUUCUAUUCGCACAGUUGGCAUAUUCGCAGCGUGGGUAGCGCGUGACGCAUGCUGGCGAUGUCGGAACCUUCUGCUCCCCACCUUCGAAUUCGAUCUAUCCUCCCCACUGCGUUCGAUCCCCUACCGGUGCUCCUGCAAUGUACCGGACGCGACAAAGAUGGUGAGAUUCGCGUGUCUCCGGCUCGAGCUAAACGGAACACGUGCCGCCGCGGUGGGGGCGGAGGAGGAGCGAGAAUAGCGGGAAAGUGGGGGAUAUCGGUGCGCGACGAGAGGGGCAAGCCGAUGGCUCUCACCCUCGCACUUACCACACCCCUUCCACCAACCAGUAGAGCGCGGUUUCUCCCACGUUAGCAGCACUAACUGACGGGAUUUUUGUUACGCUUGGCCGAAGUUUCCGCCGUGAGGUUGGACGCUGGUGCCGUCUAGCGGCGAUCGCGCAAAGUUCCAAGGUCGUCUGAGUGGGGGAAGAAUACGUGGUGGGGACACGAGGGCGACGAGGGGGAAAGGGUGGAGGAGGAGGACGCGCUUUGGUGGGGCAAGUCCGGAGAACGUACUCGACGAGGAUGGGGACAUGCGGCUCUCAGGACGCGCAGAACAUCAGAGUGGGUUGAGAAGGACGGGCGCCUCUCUUUCUCUCUAUCUCUCUCUCUCCCUCUCCCUCCUACCGCCUGUCGCACUGUCCCUGUUUCUUCCGAUCACUUUUCUCACUUCCACGCUUCUCGCAGAGAGGCAGAGAAACAGAGCUCGAUGGCGGGGCGAGAGCCGGCUUACUACGCGGCGGAACGCUACCACGGCGCUCAGUCUUCAGCGAUCAAACCGCCAGGCAGUGUGGACCUUCCUGGAGCAAUCUCUUCUUCCAUUCGUCUCGCUUCUCUUCUUUUUUUCUGAUCACGGUGACGACAAUCGACAGAUAAAACGCAACAGCUAUUCUACUAUCAGUCGACUCAACGGUUGACUCAUCAGCGAUCUCAACUUUGGAGAUCUCUGGUUAAACUUACACCGAUAUCAAGAAGAACUUCAGAGAUAAGAAAUGGUCAACAGUUCGGUGCGCAAGUUUGAUGUGAAGAUAAUCGAAAUCCGGAUAGGUCUUCAGAAUACCUUGUGGAUGGUCAUUCGGGAUACGUGGGAAAUACAUUCACAUCAUCAGCAGUGAAGAACGGGUUCAGAAGAUGACGAACAAAUCGGAGUUAACAGAUGUUGAAAGUUUGUCGCGAAAGUGGUUACCAUUCUACGUUUUAGAAGAUGAACAUCACGAGAAUACAAUUCACCACGAAGAAAUCGAGAGCGAGAAGCUUCGAGGAAACGGAUUUGGCGAAUACAAUUUUUCACGCGAGAAGGAAGGAUUGUAUUUACGAAGAUAGGUGCGCGCAAUGACGCCAAAGUGCAACCGCAUAUACGAUUUCAGCGGAUAACACGAAAGUUUGUGCUGCACUGUGUUAAACCACGUGGUACGCUAAAUCGCGUGAGUCACCUUCUCCAUUUCCAUUCACGAGCGUGAUGAUUCGUGAUCUGAAUGGUGCAUAAAAUCGGGAUAGAAUCAUCCAGAUCCCAAAUGCUCACACUGUCCACGCAGACCGUUCAGGAACGUUAAAGGUGCAACGUAACAGUGACCACAACGUAAGAUUUCGUGGUAUCGUGCUAACGUUAUCCAACCAACGGUUAAACCAAUGAAGAGAGGCAGACCGCAGAGAGGCGCAACGAGAGAGUGUAAAAGCGGAAAGUGUAAAAUGUAAAAGUGGUAUAAAAGUGGCAUGAAACUGCACCACGACGUUUGCAAGUCCAAGUUUCGAGCAAGCGCAACGUCCACUGUAAAUUGAUGAACUCGUUACUCGCGGCCGUGUGAUCCGCCGACGGCACUUAUGAUCCGAGACACUCAGUAAUCAGGUAGACAAGUGAGAUUCGAAGUCUGGAAAGAAGAUUGCAACUGCUCAGUGACGCAAUCGGUAAGAUGCUUCGAGGACCGUUACGCCGUAAGCUAUAACGCAAUAAUCUGUUUUAAUAAGAAACAAGAUCCACAAUAAAGGCGCUGCUUCUGCACACUGUGCAACACUCAAUAUUUUUUAAAAAAUAGAUAUGCCGCGCGCUCGUAAAACCUUAUUUGACCGCUCUUCGAAGCGUUAGCUUGCAAUAAAAAUCCAUACAGAUUUCUAUUUUAAUCUAUCUAUCUCUGCAAAGUUCAAGAUUCCAAGCUUUAUGCAAUCUACAAGUACGAUUGUGCACACACUACUCUCUCUGCAUACUCUACAAUUACGAAAUGUCCGCAUUAAGCAAAGUCGCGCUGAACAAUAUUGCUGGGGAAGUCUAGGAAACGUUGCGCGUCGUGUCAUCGACGCUAUAUCUCGAGUCGAAUCAAAUGAAGAAUCCGGCAAGACGGUACGGCCCUGUCCACGGUGGGCAGAUAGGGUAUAAUCAUACCGAGUUUCGUAUCUCGAGGGGGCCACGGGAAGAUGGUCCAACAUCUGCCGCUGCAGGGAAUCUCUGCCCACAUGCUGGCCGGCUCGCGCGCACGUACACGUACGUACACGGGCAAAAAGUGACGUAGGUCCACGGUGGGUCGUCAUGUAAAUUCAUUCGAAACACAUGGCAGGGCUCGGAGCGGUGUUUCUCUUGUGCGCAAAGGGUUUCGUGGAGAAAUCUCUGAUGAAGGGCAGGGCGCGCAGGAAAACGGACGAUAACUUGGCGUGCUCUUACGGCACCGAUAUCUCGUACCUACGUUAUGCGGAUAAAUACUGGGCGAAUAUCGGUUUUUUUUCGUCCUUCUUCGGUAACGCGAUGUUCGAUAUUCUGGUCGUUCAAAAAUCAUCGCUAUUCUUUUGUACUGUUUUUUUUCUUCUCAGUAAAACGUUGAACAAUUAUACGAUACAAAAAUCUGGAAGCUAUUUUUUUAGAGGGGUGAGAAAUAAGUAUUAAUUAGUAUUAAUUAGAAUCGUCUUAAAUAUCGAAUCCCUCUAUAAUAUAAAUAAAACAUUUGCGUAAAUUUAUAAUCCAAAUGUGUUGCCGUAUUGUGCAUAACACAGCAUAAAAUAUCGGCUUCAUUUAAAAGCAGUUUACGGUAUACCUGACUACGUUAAUUGGUUACCACACAUUAUUUUAAUAAAUGUAUGUAUGCUCACCUUAGUGUUACAUUCUUUACCGUCAUUAUAUCAAUUAGCUACAAAUUUUAUGUUAAUUAAUAAAUAUCCGUUUCUAACAUCUCGUGCACUAACAGCUUUACAUUAUCGUUACACUCUCCGUACGUUGCGAGAUAAUAAUUCCGUGCCUUUAAUAAUUCGUGUAGCACACACGGUCUUUUUUGUACUGUACUUUUCGCACGGUCGUUGGAAAAAGAGAAAUUGAUUGAAAGGAAAAAGAAUCGUAGCGUCUACGUGCAACGUUGCAGAAAUGGCUCUAAUUAAAGUUCAUUAAGCCAGUUGAACAAUUAUCAUUAAUUAUGUACGUUGGCUGAACUCUUUAGACAUUAACCGUCACGUUUACGAGCCGCUGAGUUUGUUCGAUUUCACUUAUAUCAGUAUCUUGUCCUGAGAAGAAAGCAAGCAGAUGACACUCUGAUAUGACGCGGAAUGUGCUCGCCUUCGACGCACGGCGUAUCGUUCAAUGGCAUAAUACCCGAUACCUUAAACGAAAUUAGAAUCACAUUUCAAGUAAUUGCAAGUGAAAGACGUUUAAUUCCGAGGAGAGAGCGUGAGAGAUGAGCGAGCGCAAAAGCGAGAAUGAGAGAACGUUGGUGACCGGAACGGCUCCCGAAGGAGAUGUCGGCUCGUCGUCGUCGCGUCGUUCUCCUCUUUUUCUUCAGCGAAAGAGACGUCUUCGUCAUGUUCAGCAAGCCAGAAGAUAAAGAGUGGCAAGGGUCUUUUCGACGAGAGUCGAUUUCAAAAAGCUCGUGGACGCGUCGCGCCGUGGCACGAUAAAGAUAACGAUUUACGUUUGGCUUUAUCGCCGGGAAGCCAGGGCCAAUGACUCGGUGAACCAACCUCGUGCCUCGAUGCCGUGAUUUAUAAGUAUUGCGCACACUCCGCUUUCUGACAGCGUCGGAGCCAGGCGCUCCUAACGCGAAACAAUGACUAAUAACUAAUUAACGCCGCGCAUAAUUGCGCAGCUAUAAAUCGUUUUCUUCGACGUUGCGGGUAAUUUCGGGCAUUAUGCGCGGCAGCCAUGUAAAAUCAAUCGUAUCUCACAAAACAGAUUUAAUUUAAUCGCGAUUAAUUCGUGCGACAAGUGGCGUAAAAUUAUUGUCACAUCAAACAGUGGUUCCUAUAAUUAGCACAAGAUGAGGACAGACAAAUUUUGUUUGCAUCGUCCAUCUGUAGAGUGUUAUUAAUGUAAUUUAACAAAAUUGUAAGAUGACAUUAUUAUGUUAUUUUAAUAUUGUUAUUUUGAAUCAAUUAUACGAGUUUUGAUAUGUUCCUCGCUAUGUACGCAACUCCUCAAAUUCGAUUGUUGAAAUUACGUUUGACGAGAAAUAAAACUAUCUCCCAUAAUACCGGUCGAGGAUUAUCGACCGGUUCUUAUAAAAACAAAUACAGCUAAUAAAAGAGAAUGGGAGAUAACAGCUUGAAUGAAGACUUUUAUGAUGCAUUCUUGUUCGUGAAAACAAGAUUCUGGCAAGGUUUGCACGGCCAUGUGAGCCGCACGAAGUAGGCUGUAUUUCUCCUUGAAAUUUAACGAACCCUCUCGCAAUGGGACACCAUUAAAAAAAUUCCCGAGUGUCAUGUCGCAGGGCGCACGCAACGGUGAUGGACGCUAACGAGUGGGAGGAGGGGAAGGGGAGCGAAGAGGGAGGAGAAGGCGCACAGGAAGGGAUGUAGGGAGAAAAACGAGAAAAAAAGAGCGACGACAUCGCGAGGCGUUUCACGCGAACUUAUGCAAAUGCAGUGCAACGCACACACAUCGCGCAGUUAAGUAAUGUUUAUGGCUACGUACAGACACCAUAAUUUAUAGUUCUUGCAUUCCGGUAGGACCGCGGAUAGGACGUUUUCAGAUAAGAAACGGUAAUAAAGGACCGCGGAUCCCAAGCAGAUAGCACCGCGUCUACUUGAUGUAGACUGGGACCUCUGACUUGCUAGAUAUUUCUCGGCGAUUUAUUACAAGUUCCGCGUAGAAGUGCCAUACGCCAUUCGAGGUUCAACGUUCGAGGAACUGAAUGGAAAUUUCGAUGAACCAUAAUAAAGCAAAGUAUCACAUAAUCGGCAGCUAACACCAACGAAUCUUUCUCCCAAAUGCUUCCUGCGCAUGAACGCGUUUGUGACUUGGGGGCGAUGUAACAUUCUUUUUAAUUAUGCCUAUAGAUCUUGUAAAAUAGUAGUCGACAUUAGAACAGUUUAAUCUGUUCGAUCUCGUUCACAAACGUCGCGCUCGCCGAUUUCUCGACGAAGCAAGAAAGGCUUAUCGCAUGCGCGUGUAGACGGUAGUCUUUUAAUUAUUUAAAGCUGACAUCGAGUGCACUCUCUCGCCGAAAAAGUUUCUGCCGCGGCGGAAACUCGAAAGUGCAUUUCGUGCACGUAACGAACUUAAAUGCUCAGAGCGUGCACGCCGGUUGCCCCGCGACCAUUAUCGAAUCAAUAAGUGGGGAGGGGAGCCAAACUUCUUGAAUUUUGAACUGAUUGUAGUAGAUUCGUACUACCAGCUGGUUUCUCUCUUUCUCUCUCAUUCCCUUCAGAGAUCGAUAAAGGAUAUCGAUGAUCCGUGAAGAAGUUAUCACAACAACGCAAAUUCGCAUUAAAAAUAAUUUCAGAUUCUAAAGAUAUCUCUUCAUCCAUCUCUAUGUAACGUCACAUCGAAAACUAAACGCAGAGAAUAAUGAAGCCACAGAAAGGCAUCAUCUGCCUACGAGUACCGCGAUAGGAUACUGUUAAUUUAGCGUGACUAUAUUCUACACGCGCAACCGUUUCGACAGAUUAGGCCAAUGCAAUCUUGAUUGACAAACUGUUGCGGUGCAUAAUUAUUAUUCUCCACGCGCUACGGUGUGCUCGAAACCGCAAGGCACAACAUAGUGUGUGCCUAAGGGAAUCGAUAUUCUCAGGUUAAUCGUAUACGGAGGAGGAGCUUCUAGCGCCGAUCGUCACAUCUCCCAAUUAAGGCCUCGAGAUCAUUAACGAGCAAAAUAAUUAGGCUCUAGGCAACUAGGCGGACGACGAGAACAACGGUUCGUUAGCCCGUCUUCCUUCUUUAGGGACCGUCGGCUAUCGUGCUACAUCUGGCAGGAUGACGAACACAAAAAGCGGUAGAAGGCAAAAAGCACCUAUUCUUUAGGUGGCGGCAAGACACGUCGUGAAUUAAUAUGUCUAGCGGGAAGACUUAUACACCGAAUGCCUGCAUGCGAAAUCGUUGCGCUUGGAGGAGGCCGAGGUAUGCCCGUAAAAGCGGCCAAUUUUCAAAGUGAGUAAUUGCCGGGAUUCCUUUUUUGCCAGACCACCCGGUACGCCACGACCACCACGCACGGGAAGCGUGUCCCAGCGGCGAGAGAUGGAAAAAAAGUUUCGCCCCGAUUCGCGCGAUCCUGUAUAAUCUCCUGUAUAAUUCGUACAACGAGAAACACGCACCAUCGCACGCGGCCGGCGCGUCUCGCGAGCGGAUCGUCGCGGAAUAUCGCGCGAUCACCGAUGGCCAUCGGAUUCGAUCGGAGGCGACCCGUCCCGUGACUCGGGACUUUGGGAGUUAAAGCGCGCCGUUAACGAAACUUUAACGUCGGGUUAACGACGCGACACGCUGAGCCGGUAACCCAUAAAUGCGCGGAUGCCCAGGGGUUAAAAGCGAGAGGGAGAGAGCUGGUGAGAGGGACGAAAUGCGGGAAGGGGAGGGAGAAAUCUGUGAGCGCCACCCUUUCGUAUGCAAAUCCCGGGACACCUGGAGCCAAAGGCCGCAUGCAAAUCGCCGCUCGGGCCAUCUGAUCGGGCAGAACCUCCGCCUCUGAACUGGUCUCUGCUUUUUGCGAGCCCCAAAAAUCCCGCGUCUCUCCCAUAUUUUUUCGUGAUGGUAGAGCGUUGCUGGGAAUUCGGCUCGAACAUGAAAUUCAGCGCGAACGCGAUCUCGUUGUAAUUUCACCGGCGAGGCGUGUCUGCGUUUCAUUAAAUCCCCACGAUCGAAUGCAUAUUAACAUUUGCUCAUCAUUUUCUUCGUCUCUUUGUAUCAGCAUAAUCAGCCGUCGAUUUAAAAAUAUCCGCUACGACGAACCAUUCUUGAUUCAUUUCAGCCAUUAUCGAUUUCCCGCGAGUCGAUCGCAAAUCGCUCGAUCAACCGAAGAUCGAAUUGCAUGCGCGGUAAACGCAUAAUAAAUUGUAGCAGAUACGUAUCUGAAAUGACUUGCCAUUACGCGGGCUGGCCGAUUUAAAAAUCGGUGCGUUCCAUCAGCCGCAGAAAAAAAAUAACCCAACCGCUAAUGUAUUAUAGGUGAUCGUCCGACGGGCACGACAUCAACAUGGCGUCUCUCGUAAAGAACGUUCCGCAGAAUCGCUUCGAGCCAUUGAUUAAUAUCGAGCGAUUGAGGCUACCGUGAAUCGUCCGUUAAAACGAUACCACGCGAACUCGCUGGCGCGCGCGCGUGCAACCGUUUUUCCAUUGAUUUAUUCCGCGCAAAAAGCAAGCGAGAAGCGCAUUUAUCGGGCGUGAUUAUCUGCAGCGGUAGCAGCGCGCCGUGGAAUACGCCGCGCCCUAUCGUAAUCAUUAAUUGUCGCGCAGAUAAAUCGAUUGCGCGCGUCUCUGCGCGCGACACGAGUAGUACCGCGCUCGAUGAAACAGCAUCAGGUAGAAUUGAGCGACGCUGUAAGAAGAGCGCUGGAUUUUAUUUAACAUGCCGCGUUCUUCCUCGUGAACGCGUCACGCGUGCGUUUCUGGUCGCCUUCGAAAGCUCGUAGCACCUUCGGACUUUUUGCGCUGGCGAUACGCAAUGUGCAGGAUAUUUCCGGGAGUCUAUAUUAAUAUUACAGUAAUUAUCAUAUUAACGGCGUUAUUUUAUGUGCAAAGGAAUAGAAUAGAGAGAACCGGGUCGUUCAAUUUGUACGUGUGGACACGUGACAACGGGACUUUCUUAGUAGGUCUAAUUUGCACAAGCUGGUCACCUAAGGAUUCUGGUUGGUCAGUUAAGUCAAUCAAGGCAGGAUUGUAAUUUCUAGUUCACAGUUCACGAGAAAAAAAAAACGUGAUAACAGUUUUCGUUAUCACGAAAAAUAUGCAAAGCCGUAUAUUUUAAGCUGCUGCGCUGAACCUACUCAGUUAA
rnacentral:lncRNA from 1 species